rnacentral:lncRNA from 1 species
GCUGUGCGAUGUUCGCCCUCAGCGUCGUGGAAAAAAAGGCAAACGAGAGGGGAUGUACUCUUUAACGUUGCUUUAUAACCAAGUUUCCCAUCCUUCUCUCUUCUAUCCCUCUUCUCUGUCUCCAAUGCCUCUUUUCUUUGGGCUUCAGGAGCCCAAAUACCCCGGGACUCGUCUCCUGGGCAACGUUACCGCUUCGUUACCGCGCGACCACAAGCGGAGUGUGCUCGGAGCCUUCUGGGAAAUGUAGUUCGGCCACCCCGGGGCCCCGGCCCAGACUAAUGGCUCUGCCUCCUCGGGCCCCAGAACCAACGGCUGGAUGUGCGGUCACGUGACCGGCCCGUCUGGAAGCCGGGGGAGUGGGGGCUGUUCUGCGCAAGGCCACCGGCAGGCCCAGGCCGCGGACGGUCGCAGAGCCGGCGCCGGCCCGUCUCCGUGGUAACCGGCUCGCCGCAGAGGCCUCUGGGAAUUCUAGUUGGGCGGGGUGGGGCCCGCGCCGCUGCCGUUAGCGCUCGCCGCCGCGGUGAGAGCGGGCGCGGUAGCCGCAGCCCGGCCCGGCCUUUGGCGGCGAGGGUUCCCAGCGUCCGGGGCGGGCUCCUCCGCGGUACCGCAGCCACCGAGCAUCCAGGCAGAAAGUUUUUGAAAUAUAAAGAAGCAUUUCUCUGAAAUUUAACCCUCCCACAGUACAAGUGACCUUCCUUGGGGACUUUUCCAGCCAAGAAUGAUCACAGCCGCGAGGGGGUCUGUAUCCUUGGACCCCCAGGCCCCUCAAAAGCAGGACAGAAUUGUGGUGGUGAAGGUGGAGGCAGAGGGCCACUUUAUCCUCGCAGCCGGGAGCUGGCCCACUCGCGCUUCAGACGGUUCUACCACCAGGAGACCAGGAGAUUUGCCACCCGGUGAGGUUCUGCGAUGUCCCCAUGAGCUCUGCCACCAGGGGCUGAGGCUGGAGAGACAUCGCAAGCUGCCCAUCCUGGAGCUGCUGAUGCUGGAGCAGUUCCUGGCCAUCCUGCCCCCGGGGCUGCAGAGCUGGGGCUGGGAGCGCCCCUGGGCCGUGGAGAGGAGCUGGCUGUGACGGACCGGAAGUUUCCUGGGGGCAGAGGGCACCUCCACCAGCGGCACAAGAACCACCACACGUCGCCAGCUUCAGCCAGUGAGACCCAGUUCAAACGCGGAUCUUGGGAGCUCCACCCCCUCCAAGCCAGUGACUUAAAGGAAGCUCUCUGAGGAAGAACCGCGUCUUGUCCUUCAUAUGUCUGCGGCCGCUCUGAGCCUGAGAGACUCAGGACGGUCUGUGGCUUGGCCACUGUGUGCGGCUGCGGACCCUGCGAUUGAAGCAGACAGAUCUGUGGUUCAGGGCAGUCGUGGAUGGAGAUGCAGACGUAGUCUGCCUUCCCUGGACGGUUGUCGGUCCUUCUCUUCCAGGACACACGGAAGGAAGGUGAUCUUGUCCCUCCCGCCACCCCUUCCCCCGCCCCCCAGGCCGGUUGGCCAUGUUGGCCCUGAUACUCAAGGUUCUGGAUGCGUGGUCCCCCUGCCUCAGCUCUGCCUGGAGACGUUGCCAGCCCCCACGCUCUGUGCUAAUCCUGGGCGUGACCUUGGGGUGGAGGAGGCAGGGAGCAAGCAAGAAAGCAGUAUUGUUGCAGGGCCGUGUGGUUAAGUAUGGCUGGUUCAGAGAGCACCUUCAAUGUCAACUUGGCGCUCUUUGAGGGCACAGCCUAUGCCUGAGGCGUCUAUGUCCGCAUGCCUGGCUCAGCACCAGCACGUAGUAGGUACUCAUCUGGGGUGGAGCAGGAGUAUGCUUCUGUAGUCACCAGCAACCACGGGGGUCACGAGGGAGCGAAGAGAACAGAUGUUAGUGACUGGCCUGAAGUCCCGCCUGUGCCUCCCCGGCCCCUGAGGGGGACAGCAUCCCCUCGGACUAUGGUGAAGUUCUGGGGUCCAAGCAAAAACGCAGAAAAGGCCCCUUGUCUUUUGUUAGCUGCAAAAUCUCCAUCUCCCCUCAAAAAAGGGGACCGAUUCUGUGUAUGCAUUCAGUUUUCCGUAGCCUUGGAGCUCUCUAACUGUCUUUAAAAGCUAAUAGGUUAGAAAUGUUCUCGGUGGGAUGGUGAGAGCUGGUCCCUAAAGUUGGCAGUCCCCAUCAGAACUGCAUUUCCUAGGAACCCAGGGCUGCUUCUCAACAGCUGACCCUUGAACCUGGUGCAGUCAGGAGCGGGUCACUGAGCCUCAGGGAAGGAGAGUGAGGUGGGGCCCUUGCUGGCGGCCUCUUCGUCUGCUUUCCACAGGCCUCGGAGCUCACCCCGUCGUCUCUGGGCAGGAGGACAGCUGGUCCCCGGGUUUUUGUGCCCCGGCCUUGGUGGACCAUGGCUGGGAUGUCAUUUAUGGUGGGUCUCCAGAAUACCCUCUCAAAGCGCUCUCCUAAGACCAAAUUGAAUAGAAAUUAUGGAAACGGGUAGAGGAGAUCGAAAUGGAUCACCAAUUGGAGACUGUCGGGAGCAGGGGCCUGGAGGGACGGGUGGCUCUGAGCUCAGCGCCCCUAGGGAACUGGUGAAGGCUGCUCCUCAGAAGCUGUUCCAAAGGCUUCUGGGAAACUUGCUCGAGAAACUAGGUCAAGAAGGAAAGCCGUAAAGUGCUUCACGGUGUGUAAAUACACCCCCAAUCCCAUUGCCCCAUGCAGAGGACACCAGUAGAGUCCCCGUCCUGACCAGCCCAGCCAGCCUCUGUGCGCUGGCAAGCUGCUCUGCUCCCUGGGCCUCUGGCCCCGCUCACCGAGAGGCUAACACUGACCAGUGCAGCAACUAGGGGGCGUGUAGUGCUGGCUCUGCCGCGUGCUCCCGGAGCAGUAUCUCAUUUCAUCCUCCCAACAGCCCUGUGACAUGGGAGGUUUCUCUCCUCGUGGUACAAAUGAGAAGGUAAGACUCAGAGAGGUUAAAUAACUUGCCCAAGGUCAUGCAGCUAACAAGUCGAGGGGCAAGCAUUCAAGUCCAGGUCUGACCCCCCAACGCCUUUCAAAGUCCUAGUUUGCCCGUGGCAGGACUUGUAAUUCCGUGCACCGGACUAACCAGUCCACUUUCCAUCCUAUGAACUGGCCAUAGUGAAAUGGUCCUGCUUCCACACUCUCUUCUUCAGCCUGUCAGGGCCGCAGAUGGUUUCUCAGAGGCCAGGAGCGGUCAGGACGGGGCGCUCCCAUCCCUAUUAAAGCCGUGUUCAUGAGGAACGUCAGGCUUUCUGCCGGCAGCCCCUGGAAUUUCUGCUGUGGGAAUUCGGGAGAUCCUCGAGUCAUGGCCCGCUCAAGAAUCGGUGGUUGUGUCUCAAUUCUGUAAGUCAGGUAUUCGGGCAGAGCAAGGCAGGAACAAUUUAGUUCUGCUCCGCCCUGUCUGAGCCUCAGCUGGAGUGGCCCCACUGACUGUAUUUGACUGGGGCGGUUUGACUGGCCAUAGGUCAGAGGCCUUGCUUCUGUCUGCCAGCUGGAUUCCUCCCCAGUUGUCCAUGAGGUGGUCACUGAAGUGGGGCUGAAAUGUCCAAAAUAGCUUUUGCUUUCAUGUCUCUGCUGCCUCUGCGUGCUCCCGUGAAGCCCCUCUCCACAGAGUAGCCUAAUCUUACAUUGUUGCUCUGGGCUCCACAAACCCCCUAUCCAUGCUCUUCUCUCCUCUCCUCUGCACCUGUCCCAGCCCACAGCCCGUGUGUGGGGAGCUGUCUCGUUCAGCCGCCGUGGCCAUGGCUGUGUUGUACCACGCGACCCUGCUCUUUGCCCCUUCCCCCCCACCCCCACACCAGUCAUUGGACCAGGAUCCGUUACAGGCUGGCCAACGAUUUUGGAAGUCACCUGACUCGAAAAUACAAGGAAAAGCCAGUCAGACCAGCCAGAGUCCCCUUUUGGGAAGUUUGAAUCAAAAAAUCAGAGAGGAUAGGCAGUGUGUGACAAGAUGUCACGAGGGCAAGUAGGGCCUGGCUGGACCAGUGUGCUGGCCAGGAUUAAAAGAAGAUUAAAUGAAGAAGAAAGUUAGAGGUUGAAGAAAAACAAAAACAAGCUCUGACUUGGAGAGGAUACCCUUACCGGGGAGGGACCAGUGAGCCUGAUUUUGGCAAGAGGAUAGAGGAGGGAAUGACGAGGGCAGAGCUGGGACUCUGUGAGAGGCAGAGAGGGCAGUCCGCCCGGGAGGCACCCUUGUGCCCCACAGCUCACUAGGUCCAGCCUCGCCUGUGUGUGUCAUUGCAGCAGGCUCUUUACUUUGGUGUCAGUUGGCUUGCUGGUGGGCAUGUGACUUCAUUCUGCCAAUAAAACUUAUGAAGGAAUAGCUGGGGGACCUUCUAGUAAGAAUUUUGCUUUUUGAUUAAAAGAGAGAGAGUGAAGAGGCCUGUCCGUUCUUCCUGCUUUGAACGUGGAUGUUUAAGGGCAUGAUACUUGGAGCUGCAGCAGCCAUUUUGAGACCAGGAGGCAACAAGACCAAGGGAAAAACCAACAUACCGAGGUUGUCUGAGCAGACAGACAAAAAGAGCCUGGGUCCUUGAUGGUAUUGUUGAGCCACUCCACCUGUCCUGGAACCCCUAUUUCCAUUCUUAUUGAUAUAUUCGUUAAAUGUCUUUAUUUUGCAAGCAGAUUUCUGCUACAUGCAGCCUAAGGCAGUCUUAACCAGUACAGCACUCCUCUGACCUCUUCAUCCUCUAACUCUGAACAACUCCUUCGAGCCCCGUGGUUCUUGGUGUAGCUCCAAAUAGAAAGUCAGCCCAAGUUCAGACUUUGGAAAUCUUACUCAUAUGGUAGGAAAUAAAAGUCAAGAUUGCUCACAGCCAACAGAGCAAUUCUGGCACUUAGCCCUGACCCAUGGCCCCUACAGGACACAGACAAGGAAAGAAAGGUAGGUUAAGGAAAGUUCUAGAUGCAUGAGUCUUCUAAAAUGGGGCUUCAUGAUGAACUUUAGGAAGAAGAUCAGUUUGUGUAUUGGGCUCAAGGAUUCAUGUCUGAGAUGCAGAACAGUUCCUAUUGCAUGUGAAUUAGCUGCUGCCAUGUGGUGCUGGGAUGCUGGCAGAUGCCUCCCGCAAACGGGGAUUCUCUCCGAGAUGAAUGCUACAAUGUUCAGUAGGAUGGGAGCCCCGAGGAAAGCUGCCUGUAUUCAUAACAAAGAUGUUCUCUCCGAUAUGAAUACUGUAAUACUGAAUAAAUUCUCAAUUCUAAGAUUUGGCCACACUUAUCUUAUUUUUGGGUUUUCUCACUUCUAAAGAAUGUCAAUAGAAUCGCAAAUUUUUCCCCUAUUCAUCACAUUUGUGAGAUGGGGUCCCUAAUGGUUCUCUAGGAUGUCUCCAUAUUCACAGACGUCUCCAAACUCAGGGACCCGGUCAGCAUCCCACGGGGACCUUCUCCUUGUGUCCACCUAUGAUUCUACUGUUGCAGAAAGUUCCUGCUCGGGUCAGCUUGUUCUUGGUCCCAGUCUCACAAUAUGAAAUUACAGAGAACGUAAAUAUCAACCAUUCUCUUUUAAAGGACAAGAAAAUUUAUUGGACUAAGAAUGAAAGUUUUGGGGAGAAGAUUUAAAGAUAAGAGUGACUUUGGGCAAACAUAAAAUGAUGAGUGUGACAGACUGCUGGUUACUUAUAUUCGCUUUUUCUUUCUUAACCCAAUUUUGGUUGUAGUGAUGUGGAUCAAGGCUGCCCCAGGUAGAGAAGCCCAAGGUGACCUGGAUCUGUAUGACCCCAUGGAUUUUAUGGUGUGAAUUAGGGCUGCCCCAGGGAGAGAAGCCCAGGGCAUGCUGGCUUACAUGCCGAUCUAUUUGACCAGAUUCAUAUCUAAAGUUAUACGACCACACAAUAACCAGACCCCAUCUGCACUGAAACCAUUUAAUGACUUUUUACACCAUUUUUUCUUUUUCCAGUAAAAAUAAGUCACGUACCCAUGCCUUAGAAAUUUAGCCCUAACCCUCAACACAUUGCAGCAGCAGCUCUGACUGCCCAUGGGUCCUGUUCCCAUGCCAGCGGCAGCAGGAGCUCCUCUUGCCCGUGGGUCCUGUCCCCAUGCAGCAGCUCUUUACUGCCCAUGGGUCCUGUCCCCAUGCUAUUCCAUACUAUUCUCUAAAUAAAAGAGCACUACUGCCAGACCUUGAGUGUCCAAGAA